AGUUUGAUCAUGGCUCAGGAUGAACGCUGGCGGCGUGCUUAACACAUGCAAGUCGAACGGGGAAUAUACUGACAGAAACUUCGGUUGAAGUCGUUAUAUUCCUAGUGGCGGACGGGUGAGUAACGCGUGGGUAACCUGCCUCACACUGGGGGAUAACAGCCGGAUAUGGCUGCUAAUACCGCAUAAGCGCACAAGGGACGCAUGUCCUGGUGUGAAAAACUCCGGUGGUGUGAGAUGGACCCGCGUUGGAUUAGCUAGUUGGCAGGGCAGCGGCCUACCAAGGCGACGAUCCAUAGCCGGCCUGAGAGGGUGGACGGCCACAUUGGGACUGAGACACGGCCCAGACUCCUACGGGAGGCAGCAGUGGGGAAUAUUGCACAAUGGGGGAAACCCUGAUGCAGCGACGCCGCGUGAAGGAAGAAGUAUCUCGGUAUGUAAACUUCUAUCAGUAGGGAAGAAAAUGACGGUACCUGACUAAGAAGCCCCGGCUAAUUACGUGCCAGCCGCCGCGGUAAUAC
rnacentral:rRNA from 1 species